GCGGUUAGACCAAGAGGUUAAGUUAUAUUACUAGGUGUAAAAGAUAGUUAGGCUUAAGAUAUAAGUUAGUAAUUAACUACUUAUAAAAAAGUAAAAUUUGUAUAUAGGUAGCUUAUCUAAUGGCAACUUAUUUUGCUGAAGCUAUGAUAAUUUUGAGGGAAACUGGGAUUAGAUACCCCAUUAUUCUUAAUUGUAAAUCUAAUAAAAUUUACCGGAGUACUAUGAAUUAUAAAAUUUAAAACUCAAAGAGCUUGGCGGUGUUUUAGACCUAUCAGGGGAACCUAUCUCAUAAUCGACAAUCCACGCAACACCUGACCUUGUUUUGCAAACAGUAUGUAUACCGUCGUCGUCAGGUAACUUCUAAAAAGCUAAAAGUUAGCAAAAAACCUAUAAGGUAAAACGUCAGAUCAAGGUGCAGCUGAUAAUAAGGAGAGGAUGGGUUACAAUUACAUAAUUUGUAAUCACGGAAAAUUAUCUGAAAAAAUAAUUUAAAGGAGGACUUGAAAGUACAAUGAAAUACACAAAUAAUUUGAAUAUGGCUCUG
rnacentral:rRNA from 1 species